rnacentral:rRNA from 1 species
CUACGGGGGGCAGCAGUCGAGAAUCUUCCGCAAUGGGCGCAAGCCUGACGGAGCAAUGCCGCGUGAGGGAUGACGGCCCUAGGGUUGUAAACCUCUGUCAGAAGGGACGAAGAACGUGACGGUACCUUCAGAGGAAGCCAUGGCUAACUACGUGCCAGCAGCCGCGGUAAUACGUAGAUGGCGAGCGUUAUUCGGAUUUACUGGGCGUAAAGGGUCAGUAGGGGGUCUGCCAAGUCUGAUGUGAAAUCCUGCGGCUCAACCGCGGAACUGCAUUGGAAACUGGCGGACUAGAGUGUGCGAGGGGUGAGCGGAAUUCCUGGUGUAGCGGUGGAAUGCGUAGAUAUCAGGAAGAACACCGAUGUCGAAGGCGGCUCACUGGCGCAUCACUGACCCUGAGGGACGAAAGCGUGGGUAGCAAACGGGAUUAGAUACCCCCGUAGUC